rnacentral:rRNA from 1 species
GAUGAACGCUGGCGGCGUGCCUAAUACAUGCAAGUCGAACGAGGUGCUUUUGUAGCAAUACGAGAGUAUCCUAGUGGCGAACGGGUGAGUAACGCGUGGAUGACCUGCCCCAAAGUGUGGGAUAACAGUCCGAAAGGAUUGCUAAUACCUCAUGUGGUUAUCGGUUUUAGAAAGCGAUAACUAAAGCAGCAAUGCGCUUUGGGAGGGAUCUGCGUCCCAUCAGCUAGUUGGUGAGGUAACGGCUCACCAAGGCGACGACGGGUAGGGGACCUGAGAGGGUGGCCCCCCACAAUGGAACUGAAACACGGUCCAUACACCUACGGGUGGCAGCAGUAGGGAAUAUUGCUCAAUGGGCGAAAGCCUGAAGCAGCAACGCCGCGUGUGCGAUGAAGGCCUUCGGGUCGUAAAGACACUUUUCUACGAGAUGAGAAAGGACAGUAUCGUAGGAAUAAGUACUCGGCUAACUACGU